UAAAAGAUUUUAUUUAUUUAUUCAUGAGAGACACACAGAGAGGCAGAGACAGAAGUAGAGGGAAAAGCAGGCUCCCUGCGAGGAUCCCAAUGCCGGACUCGAUUCCAGGACUCCAAGAUCACACCCUGAGCCAAAGGUAGAGCCACCAAGAAAAUAGGGGUCUAUUAAAAGAGAGAGCAAGAGCGAGUGAUGAGAGUACUGAUGUCUGAAGAAAAGAAUAGAAAAAUAGAAGGAGGAUAUGCAUAAAAGAAGAGAACUGAGUCCAUCAAAAGGAAAAGUCCACACCCUCCUAGAAUUUACAGUCAAAGGAAAGGUGAGCAGGUAAUUUGGUGCCAACAGAGGUACAACCCUACAAGAGGAGAGAGCCCAUUGUUUGAAUACCUCCCUGAAGGAGCUGACAUCUAAACUGAAGAGUGUAUAAGAAGGCAAGAGAAAAAGGAUGUUCAGGGAGGAUGAGAUAGCAUGUACAAUACCUGGAGAAGAGAGAGCAUAAGACACUCAGUGGGCUCCAAGUAGAUUGGGAGAAUGGGAUUCAACCCAAGAAUUAGGAAUGCCAAGAAAUAAAGCUGAAGAAAAAAAGCAAGUAAAGGACCAUGAAGGGAAUUAUGUAUGCAGAUCAGAGUCAUGCUGGCAAGCAACAAAAAUAGACCCAGAAUCACAUAAAAAGAAAAAAAUUUUUUUGAAAACCAUUGGACAGAAGCAAUAUGUUGUUUCCUACCAGCAGCACACACUGGUGGGUUUCCCAGAAUAAAAUGGGAUCAGAUGUAGAUACAAAAGAAAGAAGAUGAAAAAAGUGAGAAUAAAACAAAAACAAAUUCUGGAGAACUUGGAUUUCAUUGUGUAGACAACCAGGAAUCAUAAAAGGGACUGACGCUCCAAGUUGUACGAUUCUUGCAGCAGUGGGAAUGAGCUGACGUAAGGGAGAGGAGAUUGAGAGCUGUUACAGUAUAGAAAACCCAGAGAGGAUGGGGCCCUAAGUAAGGGCAGUGGUAGUGGGUGAAGAGGAGAACGGGAAAGAACAGAUUUGGGAAUCUGGAUGGAUCACAGUGGCAUCAGAGAACCGGCGCUCCCCCAUGCUCUGCUGCUGUGGACAUGGAUUUCUGGAUAGUUUGAAAAGUCGUAGCUUCAGUGGCUUGUCUUUUGUGAAGGGGAAGAAAAAUCACAGAUGGAGAUGGCUUUGGAGAGUCAAGAGUGAGCUGCUGCCUCCUCCUGCAUAUCCCUGUGUGGUCCCAGAGUCCACAAAACACAACUGCCCACUACUCCCACUUCCACCAGGGCGGAAGCCAUCUAUUUUAUUUCUGAACAUCUCUGUUUGGCCAUAAUGUCUAACCUUGACUGUCCCCCAUAAUGGGAUGUAAAUGUAUUAACACCCUUUCAUCGCUUGCCUGCAACUAUAUAACUUGGCUGCCUUCCAAGUCUUUAAUUCCUUUAUUGAUGCAAUUCAUGAUGGUUGUUGCUUCUGUUUAAAA